UAGGGAAUCUUCGGCAAUGGACGAACGUCUGACCGAGCAACGCCGCGUGAGUGAAGAAGGUUUUCGGAUCGUAAAACUCUGUUGUUAGAGAAGAACAAGGACGUUAGUAACUGAACGUCCCCUGACGGUAUCUAACCAGAAAGCCACGGCUAACUACGUGCCAGCAGCCGCGGUAAUACGUAGGUGGCAAGCGUUGUCCGGAUUUAUUGGGCGUAAAGCGAGCGCAGGCGGUUUCUUAAGUCUGAUGUGAAAGCCCCCGGCUCAACCGGGGAGGGUCAUUGGAAACUGGGAGACUUGAGUGCAGAAGAGGAGAGUGGAAUUCCAUGUGUAGCGGUGAAAUGCGUAGAUAUAUGGAGGAACACCAGUGGCGAAGGCGGCUCUCUGGUCUGUAACUGACGCUGAGGCUCGAAAGCGUGGGGAGCAAACAGG
rnacentral:rRNA from 1 species